rnacentral:misc_RNA from 1 species
GCAAACUUGGUCAUUUAGAGGAAGUAAAAGUCGUAACAAGGUUUCCGUAGGUGAACCUGCGGAAGGAUCAUUAACAAAUCCCUCUGAUUGUGUGUGUGGUACAUGACAUUUAUGUUUUGUUACCACACAUACAUGAGCUCCAUCUGCCAUUGGUGGAUGUGUGUGUGUAAAAUGUAUGUAUGUUGAUACAUUGUUGUCAUGCAUAUCAUGUGUGUGACGAUAACUCGUAUCGCAUAUAUAUUCUGUCUCUUUUGUAAACAUAUAACGAUUAAAACAUACUUUUAACAAUGGAUCUCUUGGCUCCUGCAUCGAUGAAGAACGCAGC